CGUCAAAUCAUCAUGCCCCUUAUGUUCUGGGCUACACACGUGCUACAAUGGGUACAACAACGGGAAGCAAGCCAGUGAUGGUGAGCAAAUCCCUAAAAAGUACUCCCAGUUCAGAUUGUUCUCUGCAACUCGAGAACAUGAAGUCGGAGUUGCUAGUAAUCGCGAAUCAGCAUGUCGCGGUGAAUACGUUCCCGGGCCUU
rnacentral:rRNA from 1 species